GGCACGAUCCCCGAUUCCGACUGCAUGGCUCCAGCUUCCCGUCCUCGCACUGUUCCAAAGUGACUGGAAUAUGGACUUCCCUGUAGCUCAAAUGAUAAAGAAUCUGCCUGCAAUGCAGGAGA
rnacentral:lncRNA from 1 species